rnacentral:rRNA from 1 species
GAUCCCUGAAAGAUGAUCAGGUUGAUAGGUCUGAGGUGGAAGCGUGGUGACACGUGGAGCUGACAGAUACUAAUAGAUCGAGGACUUAACCUU